CCCUUAGAUGUUCUGGGCCGCACGCGCGCUACACUGAUACGUUCAACAAGUUCCAUGGCCGAAAGGUCUGGGUAAUCUUUGAAACCGUAUCGUGAUGGGGAUAGAACAUUGCAAUUAUUGUUCUUCAACGAGGAAUGCCUAGUAAGCGCAAGUCAUCAGCUUGCGUUGAUUACGUCCCUGCCCUUUGUACACACCGCCCGUCGCUCCUACCGAUUGAAUGGUCCGGUGAAGCGUUCGGACCGUGGCCUUUGGACGGCUCGCCGUCUGUUGGCUGCGGGAAGUUCGUUAAACCUUAUCAUUUAGAGGAAGGAGAAGUCGUANCA
rnacentral:rRNA from 1 species